AUCCUGAUGAGGAGUCCCAAAUAGGACGAAAUGAGCAUCCUGGAU
rfam:Trichobilharzia regenti genome assembly, scaffold: TRE_scaffold0058342